ensembl:lncRNA
CGCCGCCGCCCCCGCGCCUGGGAGGCCAGGGCCGCGGGGCGCGGUGGCAGCGGGGGUGGCCCACCCCAGCUCCCGGGCUGGAUCCCUCUCCCGGCGCCGCGGAGCGAUGCUCGGGUUUGGACGGGAUGUUUCGGUGAUGCUUUCCACUUUAGCUCUUCAGCAAAUGGGGAGAGUGCAGCAGCUAGCUUGGAUCGAGCUUUGUGGGAAAAACAUGGGACGGGGCAGGGUCAUCGGGACGCGGGGCACGUCGUCCGAGCUCCCCGUAGCUCGUUUGUUAAGCACACUGCCUCCAACUGGUGCAGAUCGCAUUUAUGAAACACGUACAAAAGUGUUGGCAGGCUAGCGGGGCGUGGUGGCGCACGCCUAUUUAUGCUAGCCCUCGGGAGGCUGAGACAGGAGGAUUACCGUGAGUUCCGGGCCAGCCUGAAUUGCUGAGUGAGAUCCUGUCUCCAAAGAAAAAGAGAAUGUUGCCAGGUUGUUCCAGAACCUUCAGCCAUUUGAACAGUUAGAUCAUGGCAACCAUAGAAGAAAUUGCGCAUCAGAUUAUUGAACAACAGAUGGGAGAGGUACGUCUAGUUUACAGUUGCUUUAUUGACUCACCAUACUUUUUACUGUUUCCACCAAGUGUGUGUGCAAGGUCCUGGAGGUGCCAAGAUAGAAGAUACCUGACUUGAAGGUAGCUUUCCGGUCUCAUGAGGGCUGAGGAUUGCUUGUGGCAGGCACUGGUCGAGACGCAGAACCCUUGACAGGGAAGCUGGUCUAGCGUAGUGUGUUUGUAGGCACAUCUCCAGCCGGAGGAAGCCAAAACAUUUUUUUAAGUUGUAAAAAAAUUACUUCAUGAGUCUUUGAUUUUUUUUAAAAACAUGUGUUUUUAUGGGUGUUUAUUGGUGUCUUUGUGCUCUGGAUAAUUUCUUGCUAGACUGUGUCAUUUUUAUUUUUAAUAAACAUACCUUCCCUUUCCUUGCUCAAAAAGAAGCAAAGAGAAGGGUCAGGGCUGAGGUGGUAACUGUGUAGGCGCCAGUGUCCCAGCUGGUGAAGGGAAGAGCGGUGGGAAGUGCAGACCGGGCCAGGCCGGGUUGCAGGAGGGGGACCUGAGGCAGGUCUUCUUGUUGGCAGUGCUGGGGAUGGAACUCAGGCCUUACACACGCUAGGCAAGUGCUCUGCCACCGGGGUGAGGUACAGCCCUAGCCCUUGAGUGUUUCUUAUUUGUUUAUUGUUGCUUUUGUUUGAUUUUUGAGACAGGAUCUCAUACAUUGCCCAGGCUGGCCUGGAACUCCCAAUCCUCUUGCCUAAGCCUCCCAGGGAGCUGGAAUGGGCACUGAUGUGUCCUGACCCAGGCCAGCCUUGAUGGUUCAUGUCAGUCCUGGCAGUUGCCUUUUUUAAAUGGUUAUGUCCUGUUAUUUAGCACAAGGGACUGUGGUAUGAAGUCUGGUUUUGGGGUUUUAUUCAGGUUUGGCUCCUUACCCCUGGAACUGUUAUUUGUUAAGUGACUAGAAUACUGUUGAGGCACUUGAGGCCCAGGAGUAAGCCUCAGAAAACAGGGCCUCUUGGUGACCUUUUGUUUCCUGCCUUGUGGGGGAGGCUGGGCCUGCUGCACCGUAGUCCCAAUGAGAACAGUCUCAGCACCUGACAGGGAGAAGGUCGGGUGCUGGGCCUUGUCCCUGGUUAAUUUGAGACCCAGAAACAGUCAGGCAUGGUUACACACGCCUGUAAUUCCAGCGCUUGGGAGGCUGGGACAGGAGCAUCAUGAGUUCAGAGCCAGCCUGGACUAGAGACACAUGAUCUCAAGAAGAACAAAACAAAAAACUGCCCCCCCGCAAAAAAAAAACCCAAGCAAUAACUAAGUCAUGACAAACUGACAGCACAUGUCCUUUUUCUCUGGUUACAUGUAUUCUCUUAAAUUGAAUGAUUACUAUAUGAAUUUUAAGUACAUAAAAUGUGCUAAUUCAAUUUUUUUAAUUAAAAAAUAUAUUUUGAUGGGGGUUUUUUGUAUUAAAUUCUUUUAUUGGUACAUUGUAGGUAUACAACACAAUUACAUUUCUCAUUGGGAAUUGUACCUUUAUAUAAUGCAUCUUGGUUCUUAUUUUAUUUUGAUGUUUUUGAGACAGAAUCUUGCUAUUUAGCUCUGGCUGGCCUUGUACUCACUGUGUAGCCCAGGCUGACCUUGAACUCAUGGUGAUCCUCCUGCCUCAGCUUACAGAGUCCUGGGUUUGCAGGCAUGUGCUACCAGGGCCAGCAAUGCACUAAUUUUAAAAUAUAUGUAUUUAUAUAAAUUUUUAACAGUAAAACUACCACCCACAUUAAGAUCCAGCAGUAAUUUUACAUAUGAAUGCCACAUAAAAUCUCUUAAAUGUGAAUUACCUUAUAAUAUCCUUAUUUCUGCCUAAUAAAAAUGUUGCCCUCCAUUUCUAUGACCUAAAGAGCUUCUGUUCCCUUUAAAACCUUUUUAAAAUAAAAUGUGAGUAUCUCACAUCAAAGUUUGAUGUUUUUUAUUCGAUUUGGGUCUUAUAAAUUGGGAAUUUAACCAGUUUAUGAGUUUAAUUCACCUGUACCUCGUUGAUGUCUUUUAUGCUAAUUUUAAUGUUUCCUUGUUUUGGGGGGUUUUUUUUUUCUACUCUUCUUGAUUUUUCACUUCUUUUCAGUUUCAGAAGCUUGGAGUGUAUAUAUUCUAUUUUUGUCUGGAACUCCAUGAUAAAUUGACUUAUAUGAAUGCCCACUGUUUCAGUAACUACUGGUUUUCCCAGUUUAGUAUAUCAAACGUAUCCACCCCUAUGCAGCUAGUGCGUGGUUAAUUUUCUUCUACUAUAUUAAUGGUAUGAACUUGCUAAAUGCCAGUAGACACUGUGCUGUUGUAGAUGUGCAAGAGAAAAAUCUGAGGUCAGUCCGACGUACUAGAUUUUUUUUUUUUUUUUUUUUUUUUUAAGACAGGGUCUCACUUCAUAGUUCAGGCUGUCCUUGAACUAUGUAGUCCAGGUUGGCUACAAACUUGCAACGAUCCUCCUGCCUCAGCCUCCCAAGUGCUGAGAUUACAGGCAUAUGCCACCAUGUGUGGCUUUUUUUUUUGUAAGGGAAAUAAAAUUGCACCAUUUUCCAGUUUUGUCA